rnacentral:rRNA from 1 species
UACGGGGGGGGCAAGCGUUGUUCGGAAUUACUGGGCGUAAAGGGCUCGUAGGUGGCCAACUAAGUCAGACGUGAAAUCCCUCGGCUUAACCGGGGAACUGCGUCUGAUACUGGAUGGCUAGAGUUUGGGAGAGGGAUGCGGAAUUCCAGGUGUAGCGGUGAAAUGCGUAGAGAUCGGGAGGAACACCAGCGGCGAAGGCGGCGACCUGGAUGAGUACUGACACUCAACUGCGAAAGCGUGGGGAGCAAACAGG